rnacentral:lncRNA from 1 species
AAGACGAAGGUGAGAAAUGGCGAAGAGCAUCCUUAUUCUUGCAUUAUGCAUUUUUGUUGUGGUAGUCAUUGUAGCUGUCAAUGCGGAGAAUGACCUUUGUUUUUUCAAUUGCUACAACAAAUGUGAGGGAAACAGGAUGGCUUGCACCCAAAGUUGCAUCAAAACUUGCCCUGCAUCUACCAAUUUUAUAGGUUCAUAUCAAUUUUAAAAACACAUUAUUUAAUUUAUGUUCAAUUUAUAUGAUUGAUUAUUAUACAUUCGCAGGUCCAUAAAAAUUACCUACAAUUCUACAAAGCAUGGUAUCAUGAUCUGGCAUGUUUUAUGAUGAUGAUGAACGAUUGAGCAAAAUAUUCGUGGCAUACAUGCAAUUUUUUUAUAUGACGUCUAUUUACAUACAUAUAAAUUUGUUAUAAUAAAAUGAUUUAGGAUUUUUAAAGCUUUCAAUCUCUUAUCUUACAGCUAUAUACUAUGAGUCCUAAUUAUAUUAUUUUGUUAUAUAUCUAAACGAGCAAAGACUAUAUAUGUAUUGA